rnacentral:rRNA from 1 species
AUUGAACGCUGGCGGCAUGCUUUACACAUGCAAGUCGAACGGUAACAGGCCGCAAGGUGCUGACGAGUGGCGAACGGGUGAGUAAUGCAUCGGAACGUGCCCAGUCGUGGGGGAUAACUACUCGAAAGAGUAGCUAAUACCGCAUACGAGCUAUGGAGGAAAGCGGGGGACCGUAAGGCCUCGCGCGAUUGGAGCGGCCGAUGUCAGAUUAGGUAGUUGGUGGGGUAAAGGCUCACCAAGCCAACGAUCUGUAGCUGGUCUGAGAGGACGACCAGCCACACUGGGACUGAGACACGGCCCAGACUCCUACGGGAGGCAGCAGUGGGGAAUUUUGGACAAUGGGCGCAAGCCUGAUCCAGCAAUGCCGCGUGCAGGAAGAAGGCCUUCGGGUUGUAAACUGCUUUUGUACGGAACGAAACGGCUCUGGUUAAUACCCGGGGGUAAUGACGGUACCGUAAGAAUAAGCACCGGCUAACUACGUG